rnacentral:rRNA from 1 species
ACUCCUGCGGGAGGCAGCAGUGGGGAAUUUUGGACAAUGGGCGAAAGCCUGAUCCAGCAAUGCCGCGUGAGUGAAGAAGGCCUUCGGGUUGUAAAGCUCUUUUGUCAGGGAAGAAACGGUGAGAGCUAAUAUCUUUUGCUAAUGACGGUACCUGAAGAAUAAGCACCGGCUAACUACGUGCCAGCAGCCGCGGUAAUACGUAGGGUGCAAGCGUUAAUCGGAAUUACUGGGCGUAAAGCGUGCGCAGGCGGUUUUGUAAGUCUGAUGUGAAAUCCCCGGGCUCAACCUGGGAAUUGCAUUGGAGACUGCAAGGCUAGAAUCUGGCAGAGGGGGGUAGAAUUCCACGUGUAGCAGUGAAAUGCGUAGAUAUGUGGAGGAACACCGAUGGCGAAGGCAGCCCCCUGGGUCAAGAUUGACGCUCAUGCACGAAAGCGUGGGGAGCAAACAGGAUUAGAUACCCCAGUAGUCCCA